UAUAUAUUAGAGGGUAUUGAUAUAUAUUAUGAUCUGAUGUGCUUUCUUGGUAUCCUAAAUAUAAGAUUAAUACUUCAAGUUGCUGAGUUGAGAAAGAGAUGGUUGAAUCAAAAGAAUUCCUUUUUUGAAGUUCAAUUUUUAUCACAGGACAGACAAUAUGAAUAUUAUACCUUGUUCCAUUAAAACACUCAAGGGGUUAUACGAUAUAUCGGGUGUAUAAGUAGGCCAACACUUCUAUUGGCAAAUAGGAAGUUUCCAAAUUCAUGCCCAAGUACUCAUCACUUCUUGGGUUGUAAUUACUAUCUUGCUAGGUUCAGUUGUCAUAGCUGUUCGGAAUCCACAAACCGUACCGAUGGACGGUCAGAAUUUCUUUGAAUAUGUCCUUGAGUUUAUUCGAGACUUGAGCAAAACUCAGAUUGGAGAAGAAUAUGGUCCCUGGGUUCCAUUUAUUGGAACUAUGUUCCUUUUUAUUUUUGUUUCGAAUUGGUCGGGUGCUCUUUUACCUUGGAAAAUUAUAGAGCUACCCCAUGGGGAAUUAGCAGCACCCACGAAUGAUAUAAAUACUACUGUUGCUUUAGCUUUACUCACCUCAACAGCAUAUUUUUAUGCGGGUCUUAGCAAAAAAGGAUUGAGCUAUUUCGAGAAAUAUAUUAAACCAACUCCAAUCCUUUUACCAAUUAACAUACUAGAGGAUUUCACAAAACCAUUAUCGCUUAGCUUUCGACUUUUUGGGAAUAUAUUGGCGGAUGAAUUAGUUGUUGUUGUUCUUGUUUCUUUAGUCCCCUUAGUAGUCCCUAUACCUGUCAUGUUUCUUGGAUUAUUUACAAGCGGUAUUCAAGCUCUUAUUUUUGCAACAUUAGCCGCAACCUAUAUAGGUGAAUCCAUGGAGGGUCAUCAUUGAAUUGACUAGUUUUAAAAUAGUCUUUUUUUAGCUUAGCUCAAUUCAUGCACGGUUACGGACUUGGUUGCAAAAAAGUAGUUAGAAAUGCAUAUGAAUAUACAACCUAGAGUUGUAGGAGAGAGAAUAGACUCUAUUAUGGAGUUGGCAAAAUAUGCAGUAAGGAGGGUGGAAUCAGGCUAGAUCUAUACUAUAAUUAUAUAUCCUUAAUGUCUAUAAGUGGAGUCAUCUUUUGUGCGGGUUUCCGCUUUAAGGAAUGAUUUUAGAAUCCGAUUCAUUCAAUAGAAAUAGAAAAUGAAAAAAAUAUGAAAACAAAA